CCUGUGAGGGUUGCUGGAGGUAUCAGAAGUGCGAAUGCUGACAUAAGUAACGAUAAAGCGGGUGAAAAGCCCGCUCGCCGGAAGACCAAGGGUUCCUGUCCAACGUUAAUCGGGGCAGGGUGAGUCGACCCCUAAGGCGAGGCCGAAAGGCGUAGUCGAUGGGAAACAGGUUAAUAUUCCUGUACUUGGUGUUACUGCGAAGGGGGGACGGAGAAGGCUAUGUUAGCCGGGCGACGGUUGUCCCGGUUUAAGCAUGUAGGCUGGUUAUCCAGGCAAAUCCGGAUAAUCAAGGCUGAGGUGUGAUGACGAGGCACUACGGUGCUGAAGUAACAAAUGCCCUGCUUCCAGGAAAAGCCUCUAAGCAUCAGGUAACAUCAAAUCGUACCCCAAACCGACACAGGUGGUCAGGUAGAGAAUACCAAGGCGCUUGAGAGAACUCGGGUGAAGGAACUAGGCAAAAUGGUGCCGUAACUUCGGGAGAAGGCACGCUGGUGUGUAGGUGAAGCCCCUGCGGGUGGAGCUGAGACCAGUCGAAGAUACCAGCUGGCUGCAACUGUUUAUUAAAAACACAGCACUGUGCAAACACGAAAGUGGACGUAUACGGUGUGACGCCUGCCCGGUGCCGGAAGGUUAAUUGAUGGGGUUAUCCGUAAGGAGAAGCUCUUGAUCGAAGCCCCGGUAAACGGCGGCCGUAACUAUAACGGUCCUAAGGUAGCGAAAUUCCUUGUCGGGUAAGUUCCGACCUGCACGAAUGGCGUAAUGAUGGCCAGGCUGUCUCCACCCGAGACUCAGUGAAAUUGAACUCGCUGUGAAGAUGCAGUGUACCCGCGGCAAGACGGAAAGACCCCGUGAACCUUUACUAUAGCUUGACACUGAACAUUGAGCCUUGAUGUGUAGGAUAGGUGGGAGGCUUUGAAGCGUGGACGCCAGUCUGCGUGGAGCCAACCUUGAAAUACCACCCUUUAAUGUUUGAUGUUCUAACGUUGGCCCCUUACCGGGGUUGCGGACAGUGUCUGGUGGGUAGUUUGACUGGGGCGGUCUCCUCCCAAAGCGUAACGGAGGAGCACGAAGGUUAGCUAAUCCUGGUCGGACAUCAGGAGGUUAGUGCAAUGGCAUAAGCUAGCUUGACUGCGAGCGUGACGGCGCGAGCAGGUGCGAAAGCAGGUCAUAGUGAUCCGGUGGUUCUGAAUGGAAGGGCCAUCGCUCAACGGAUAAAAGGUACUCCGGGGAUAACAGGCUGAUACCGCCCAAGAGUUCAUAUCGACGGCGGUGUUUGGCACCUCGAUGUCGGCUCAUCACAUCCUGGGGCUGAAGUAGGUCCCAAGGGUAUGGCUGUUCGCCAUUUAAAGUGGUACGCGAGCUGGGUUUAGAACGUCGUGAGACAGUUCGGUCCCUAUCUGCCGUGGGCGCUGGAGAAUUGAGGGGGGCUGCUCCUAGUACGAGAGGACCGGAGUGGACGCAUCACUGGUGUUCGGGUUGUCAUGCCAAUGGCACUGCCCGGUAGCUAAAUGCGGAAGAGAUAAGUGCUGAAAGCAUCUAAGCACGAAACUUGCCCCGAGAUGAGUUCUCCCUGAGACUUUAAGUCUCCUGAAGGAACGUUAAAGACGAUGACGUUGAUAGGCCGGGUGUGUAAGCGCAGCGAUGCGUUGAGCUAACCGGUACUAAUGAACCGUGAGGCUUAACCUUACAACGCCGAAG
rnacentral:rRNA from 1 species